rnacentral:rRNA from 1 species
AUUGCACGCUGGCGGCAGGCCUAACACAUGCAAGUCGAGCGAGAGGCGGACGGGUGAGUAAUGUAUGGGGAUCUGCCCGAUGGAGGGGGCUAACUACUGGAAACGGUAGCUAAUACCGCCUACUAUCGGAUGAACCCAUAUUGGAUUAGCUAGUAGGUGGGGUAAAGGCUAACCUAGGCGACGAUCGCUAGCUGGUCUGAGAGGAUGAGCAGCCAGACUGGGACUGAGACACGGCCCAGACUCCUACGGGAGGAAGCAGUGGGGAAUAGUGCACAAUGGGCGAAAGCCUGAUGCAGCCAUGCCGCGUGUAUGAAGAAGGCCUUAGGGUUGUAAAGUACUUUCAGCGGGGAGGCGUUACCCGCAGAAGAAGCACCGGCUAACUCCGGGCCAGCAGCAGCGGUAAUUC